UCUUUCUGCAAGAGAGAGAGAGAGAGAGAGAGAGAGAGAGAGAGAGAGAGAGAGAGAGAGAAAGAGAGAGCAUCAGACACAAACAGGAGAGAAAAGUAGCCUAGAAAGAAGUAGAGCAGAGUGUGGUGAGGUAGUGCAGGUCAGCAUCUGAGGAAAUGCAUCUCCCUACAUCUGAUAAGCUAUUCUGCAGCGCUGCAACUCCCUGAACCCUCACGCACUGGCUGAACAACUGCACACAACUGCAUAGCGUUCUGUUUCUGAAUAGUUUGACCUCCUCAGGUUUAUGAAACCACCUAUCUGAGAAAGAAGGAAAGAUGGCUCCUCUCAGCUCAUGACACACAGUAUACAACCUGGGAGAAGGGGUUGUAAGCCGACAUUUCUUUCACCGUUACGUCCAAACAAUGGGAUCCACCGAUAUGUAGGACAACGUUGAUGCCACACCUUUGGCUAUAUCACACUGGAUUGAAAGAAAUUUCAACCAGUGACGAUCAGGGAGCAGUCAAGUUUCUGGAGUGUUGACAUGGAGUUACUGUUUGAUGGCUUUUCAAAUGCCCUUAAAAAUGAGACUUGUUUGUUUUGUGAUGCGAUUAAUGCUUCCUCUUCAGAUCAGGGGCUCAGUUUGGCAAUGUGUGACUUUAUUUCACAACUAUCAGUAACUGACCCUUUUCAUAUUUUUCACAUUCAAUCUG